rnacentral:rRNA from 1 species
UNGGAAUUACUGGGCGUAAAGCGGGCGCAGACGGUUACUUAAGCAGGAUGUGAANUCCCCGGGCUCAACCUGGGAACUGCGUUNUGAACUGGGUGACUAGAGUGUGUCAGAGGGAGGUAGAAUUCCACGUGUAGCAGUGGAAUGCGUAGAGAUGUGGAGGAAUACCGAUGGCGAAGGCAGCCUCCUGGGAUAACACUGACGUUCAUGCCCGAAAGCGUGGGUAGCAAACAGGAUUAGAUACCCUGGUAGUCCACGCCCUAAACGAUGUCGAUUAGCUGUUGGGCAGCUUGACUGCUUAGUAGCGAAGCUAACGCGUGAAAUCGACCGCCUGGGGAGUACGGUCGCAAGAUUAAAACUCAAAGGAAUUGACGGGGACCCGCACAAGCGGUGGAUGAUGUGGAUUAAUUCGAUGCAACGCGAAGAACCUUACCUGGUCUUGACAUGUACGGAACCCUCCAGAGACGGAGGGGUGCCUUCGGGAGCCGUAACACAGGUGCUGCAUGGCUGUCGUCAGCUCGUGUCGUGAGAUGUUGGGUUAAGUCCCGCAACGAGCGCAACCCUUGUCAUUAGUUGCCAUCAUUAAGUUGGGCACUCUAAUGAGACUGCCGGUGACAAGCCGGAGGAAGGUGGGGAUGACGUCAUGUCCUCAUGGCCCUUAUGACCAGGGCUUCACACGUCAUACAAUGGUCGGUACAGAGGGUAGCCAAGCCGCGAGGUGGAGCCAAUCUCACAAAACCGAUCGUAGUCCGGAUUGCACUCUGCAACUCGAGUGCAUGAAGUCGGAAUCGCUAGUAAUCGCAGGUCAGCAUACUGCGGUGAAUACGUUCCCGGGUCUUGUACACACCGCCCGUCACACCAUGGGAGUGGGGGAUACCAGAAGUAGGUAGGGUAACCGCGAGGAGCCCGCUU